rnacentral:lncRNA from 1 species
ACCAUAUUCUUGUUUAAAUGCACAAGGAAUAAUUUGUUUCAUCAUGUCCUAGUUUAUCCAUGCCAGAUUUGUUGCUUCCGGAAUUCUUGGUCCUUCAUAUCUAAAGUUUACAUGUACUAUAGAAGCUCUACUUUAUGCUAAUACCUGCUUGUGUAACAUUUUGCAUGGUAUACUUCUAAAUGGACAAGUACAUGCGGCGUCCAUCAUCAACGAUAAUGCGGACUGACGUUCAACUGCAGAACCAUCAAUCAUAUCAACACAAAGUCAGGUAUGUUCUUGUCUUGUUGAACAGAUAAGGGCAUGAUGCUUCAUGGCCUUCUGCUUGAUGCAUGUAUCAUUUGACACACACAUUAGUAAAUCUGAAUUAAUUUUGACAUAAAUGCUUAUUGAUUGAAUAUGAGUAUUGUUCCUUAUACUCAAAUGGAACUUUGAUCUCCUGUAACUUUGAAUGAUUGUUUUUAAACCUUGUCGUGUAUGUGAAACAUUCAAUGCUUAUUUCUUGCUAAGUUUGUCAUAUGUGCCAAUUCAAUUCCCAGUUUUGACGAAUAUGCCUAUUUCAGAUAAGUAGAAUGAUCUUGGUAAAAUAAUAAUAAGUAGAAUGAUAAAAUACUGGUGUGUCUUUAUUUUUUAUUUUAAAAGUAUUCGCGUAAUAUUUCUUCUAUCUGUGACAUACUUCUUGUUCUCUUUUGAAUGUCCAGAUGUUUUGCAAAAGGAAGAAGCAGUACUUGAAGAAGCAGAUUACAAUGUUUUCUCGUUGUGAAGCACUAGAUAGGCUUGUUCUAUUUAUUUUUCCUGUUCUGGAGUAUUCCAACACCUGAAUGCUUGACUAAAACAUGUCGUAGGUUGCUUGGAUCUGUAUAAUAUACAUAUGUGAUGGAAAUUUGUAGAAUGUGUGUUCUGAGAUAUUUCUGUAAUAUUCAGCUAAUUCAUGGUAACUUGAUUCAUAUUGUUAUUCAAAC